CUUAUCUUUCAAAACCUGCUCGUAUGAUCUAUUGAAAAGCAUACUUAUAUAAAUAUUUAUAAGAUUUAAACAUCCGAAAUAUUUUUCUCUCUUUUUAGUUUUGGAACAUACAAUGUCAUUCCUUUGUAUUGUUACAUUAUGCAUAUGUGGUCUAACAAGUAUUACUGAGUCAUCCCCUAUAUUUGGAUUUGACUUGAAUCCUCUUGACUACCUUCAGAAAA